rnacentral:rRNA from 1 species
AUUGAACGCUGGCGGCAUGCCUUACACAUGCCAGUCGAACGGUAACGCGCCUUCGGGUGCCGACGAGUGGCGAACGGGUGCGUAAUACAUCGGAACGUGCCCGAUCGUGGGGGAUAACGAGGCGAAAGCUUUGCUAAUACCGCAUACGAUCUACGGAUUAAAGCAGGGGACCGCAAGGCCUUGCGCGGACGGAGCGGCCGAUGGCAGAUUAGGUAGUUGGUGGGAUAAAAGCUUACCAAGCCGACGAUCUGUAGCUGGUCUGAGAGGAUGAUCAGCCACACUGGGACUGAGACACGGCCCAGACUCCUACGGGAGGCAGCAGUGGGGAAUUUUGGACAAUGGGCGCAAGCCUGAUCCAGCCAUGCCGCGUGCAGGAUGAAGGCCUUCGGGUUGUAAACUGCUUUUGUACGGAACGAAAAGCCUUCUUUUAAUAAAGGAGGGUCAUGACGGUACCGUAAGAAUAAGCACCGGCUAACUACGUG